GUGAGGAAUUUUCCGCAAUGGGCGAAAGCCUGACGGAGCAAUGCCGCGUGAAGGAUGAAGGCCUAUGGGUUGUAAACUUCUUUUCUCAGAAAAGAAUUAUGACGGUAUCUGAGGAAUAAGCAUCGGCUAACUCUGUGCCAGCAGCCGCGGUAAGACAGAGGAUGCAAGCGUCAUCCGGAAUGAUUGGGCGUAAAGCGUCUGUAGGUUGUUUAAAAAGUAUUCUGUCAAAGAUUAGUGCUUAACCCUAGAUAGGCAGAAUAAACUUUUAAGCUAGAGGUUGGUAGAGGAAGAGGGAAUUCACGGUGUAGCGGUGAAAUGCGUAGAUAUCGGGAGGAACACCAAAGGCGAAGGCACUCUGCUGGGCCAAUACUAACACUGAGAGACGAAAGCGAGGGGAGCAAAUGGGAUUAGAAACCCCAGUAGUCC
rnacentral:rRNA from 1 species